GGUCUAGCGGCGGACGGGUUAGUAACGSGUGGGAAUAUACCCUUCACUACGGAACGAGCCUCGGGAAACUGGGAGUAAUACCGUAUACGCCCUUUGGGGGAAAGAUUUAUCGGUGAAGGAUUAGCCCGCGUCUGAUUAGAUAGUUGGUGGGGUAAUGGCCUACCAAGUCUACGAUCAGUAGCUGGUUUGAGAGGAUGAUCAGCAACACUGGGACUGAGACACGGCCCAGACUCCUACGGGAGGCAGCAGUGGGGAAUCUUAGACAAUGGGCGCAAGCCUGAUCUAGCCAUGCCGCGUGAGUGACGAAGGCCUUAGGGUCGUAAAGCUCUUUCGCCAGAGAUGAUAAUGACAGUAUCUGGUAAAGAAACCCCGGCUAACUCCGUGCCAGCAGCCGCGGUAAUACGGAGGGGGUUAGCGUUGUUCGGAAUUACUGGGCGUAAAGCGCACGUAGGCGGAUUGGAAAGUAUGGGGUGAAAUCCCAGGGCUCAACCCUGGAACGGCCUUGUAAACUCCCAGUCUAGAGUUCGAGAGAGGUGAGUGGAAUUCCAAGUGUAGAGGUGAAAUUCGUAGAUAUUUGGAGGAACACCAGUGGCGAAGGCGGCUCACUGGCUCGAUACUGACGCUG
rnacentral:rRNA from 1 species